UAUCAAUAAGCGGAGGAAAAGAAACCAACAGGGAUUGCCCUAGUAACGGCGAGUGAAGCGGCAACAGCUCAAAUUUGAAAUCUGGCUCUCGGGCCCGAGUUGUAAUUUGUAGAGGAUACUUUUGAUGCGGUGCCUUCCGAGUUCCCUGGAACGGGACGCCAUAGAGGGUGAGAGCCCCGUCUGGUUGGAUGCCAAAUCUCUGUAAAGUUCCUUCAACGAGUCGAGUAGUUUGGGAAUGCUGCUCUAAAUGGGAGGUAUAUGUCUUCUAAAGCUAAAUACCGGCCAGAGACCGAUAGCGCACAAGUAGAGUGAUCGAAAGAUGAAAAGCACUUUGAAAAGAGAGUUAAAAAGUACGUGAAAUUGUUGAAAGGGAAGCGUUUAUGACCAGACUUGGGCUUGGUUAAUCAUCUGGGGUUCUCCCCAGUGCACUUUUCCAGUCCAGGCCAGCAUCAGUUUUCCCCGGGGGAUAAAGGCGGCGGGAAUGUGGCUCUCUUCGGGGAGUGUUAUAGCCCACCGUGUAAUACCCUGGGGGGGACUGAGGUUCGCGCAUCUGCAAGGAUGCUGGCGUAAUGGUCAUCAACGACCCGUCUUGAAACACGGACCAAGGAGUCGUCUUCGUAUGCGAGUGUUCGGGUGUCAAACCCCUACGCGUAAUGAAAGUGAACGCAGGUGAGAGCUUCGGCGCAUCAUCGACCGAUCCUGAUGUUCUCGGAUGGAUUUGAGUAAGAGCAUACGGGGCCGGACCCGAAAGAAGGUGAACUAUGCCUGUAUAGGGUGAAGCCAGAGGAAACUCUGGUGGAGGCUCGCAGCGGUUCUGACGUGCAAAUCGAUCGUCAAAUAUGGGCAUGGGGGCGAAAGACUAAUCGAACCUUCUAGUAGCUGGGUUUCCGC
rnacentral:rRNA from 1 species